rnacentral:rRNA from 1 species
AGUGAACGCUGGCGGCGUGCCUAAUACAUGCAAGUCGAACGGAGUGGCGCACGGGUGAGUAAUAUAUAGCUAAUCUGCCCCUUGCUGGAGGACAACAGUUAGAAAUGACUGCUAAUACUCCAUAGCAAGGGAUGAGACUAUAUAGUAUCAGCUCGUCGGUGGGGUAACGGCCUACCGAGGCUAUGAAGCGUAACUGGUCUGAGAGGAUGUUCAGUAAAAUGCGAACUGAGACACGGGUCAAACUCCUACGGGAGGCAGCAGUAGGGAAUAGUGCGCAAUGGGCGAAAACCUGACGCAGCAACGCGGUGUGGAGGAUGACACGUUGCGGAGCGGAAACUCCUUUUGUUAGGGAAGCGGUACCUAAAGAAUAAGCACCGGCUAACUCCGUGCCAGCAGCCGCGGUAAUAC